UUAAGUUAUUAAGGGCGCACGGUGGAUGCCUUGGCACUAGAAGCCGAUGAAGGACGUUACUAACGACGAUAUGCUUUGGGGAGCUGUAAGUAAGCUUUGAUCCAGAGAUUUCCGAAUGGGGAAACCCAGCAUGAGUUAUGUCAUGUUAUCGAUAUGUGAAUACAUAGCAUAUCAGAAGGCACACCCGGAGAACUGAAACAUCUUAGUACCCGGAGGAAGAGAAAGAAAAUUCGAUUCCCUUAGUAGCGGCGAGCGAAACGGGAAGAGCCCAAACCAACAAGCUUGCUUGUUGGGGUUGUAGGACACUCUGUACGGAGUUACAAAGGACGACAUUAGACGAAUCAUCUGGAAAGAUGAAUCAAAGAAGGUAAUAAUCCUGUAGUCGAAAAUGUUGUCUCUCUUGAGUGGAUCCUGAGUACGACGGAGCACGUGAAAUUCCGUCGGAAUCUGGGAGGACCAUCUCCUAAGGCUAAAUACUCUCUAGUGACCGAUAGUGAACCAGUACCGUGAGGGAAAGGUGAAAAGCACCCCGGAAGGGGAGUGAAAUAGAACCUGAAACCGUGUGCUUACAAGUAGUCAGAGCCCGUUAAUGGGUGAUGGCGUGCCUUUUGUAGAAUGAACCGGCGAGUUACGAUUUGAUGCAAGGUUAAGCAGUAAAUGUGGAGCCGUAGCGAAAGCGAGUCUGAAUAGGGCGUUUAGUAUUUGGUCGUAGACCCGAAACCAGGUGAUCUACCCUUGGUCAGGUUGAAGUUCAGGUAACACUGAAUGGAGGACCGAACCGACUUACGUUGAAAAGUGAGCGGAUGAACUGAGGGUAGCGGAGAAAUUCCAAUCGAACCUGGAGAUAGCUGGUUCUCUCCGAAAUAGCUUUAGGGCUAGCCUCAAGUGAUGAUUAUUGGAGGUAGAGCACUGUUUGGACGAGGGGCCCCUCUCGGGUUACCGAAUUCAGACAAACUCCGAAUGCCAAUUAAUUUAACUUGGGAGUCAGAACAUGGGUGAUAAGGUCCGUGUUCGAAAGGGAAACAGCCCAGACCACCAGCUAAGGUCCCAAAAUAUAUGUUAAGUGGAAAAGGAUGUGGCGUUGCCCAGACAACUAGGAUGUUGGCUUAGAAGCAGCCAUCAUUUAAAGAGUGCGUAAUAGCUCACUAGUCGAGUGACACUGCGCCGAAAAUGUACCGGGGCUAAACAUAUUACCGAAGCUGUGGAUUGUCCUUUGGACAAUGGUAGGAGAGCGUUCUAAGGGCGUUGAAGCAUGAUCGUAAGGACAUGUGGAGCGCUUAGAAGUGAGAAUGCCGGUGUGAGUAGCGAAAGACGGGUGAGAAUCCCGUCCACCGAUUGACUAAGGUUUCCAGAGGAAGGCUCGUCCGCUCUGGGUUAGUCGGGUCCUAAGCUGAGGCCGACAGGCGUAGGCGAUGGAUAACAGGUUGAUAUUCCUGUACCACCUAUAAUCGUUUUAAUCGAUGGGGGGACGCAGUAGGAUAGGCGAAGCGUGCGAUUGGAUUGCACGUCUAAGCAGUAAGGCUGAGUAUUAGGCAAAUCCGGUACUCGUUAAGGCUGAGCUGUGAUGGGGAGAAGACAUUGUGUCUUCGAGUCGUUGAUUUCACACUGCCGAGAAAAGCCUCUAGAUAGAAAAUAGGUGCCCGUACCGCAAACCGACACAGGUAGUCAAGAUGAGAAUUCUAAGGUGAGCGAGCGAACUCUCGUUAAGGAACUCGGCAAAAUGACCCCGUAACUUCGGGAGAAGGGGUGCUCUUUAGGGUUAACGCCCAGAAGAGCCGCAGUGAAUAGGCCCAAGCGACUGUUUAUCAAAAACACAGGUCUCUGCUAAACCGUAAGGUGAUGUAUAGGGGCUGACGCCUGCCCGGUGCUGGAAGGUUAAGAGGAGUGGUUAGCUUCUGCGAAGCUACGAAUCGAAGCCCCAGUAAACGGCGGCCGUAACUAUAACGGUCCUAAGGUAGCGAAAUUCCUUGUCGGGUAAGUUCCGACCCGCACGAAAGGCGUAACGAUUUGGGCACUGUCUCAACGAGAGACUCGGUGAAAUCAUAGUACCUGUGAAGAUGCAGGUUACCCGCGACAGGACGGAAAGACCCCGUGGAGCUUUACUGUAGCCUGAUAUUGAAAUUCGGCACAGCUUGUACAGGAUAGGUAGGAGCCUUUGAAACGUGAGCGCUAGCUUACGUGGAGGCGCUGGUGGGAUACUACCCUAGCUGUGUUGGCUUUCUAACCCGCACCACUUAUCGUGGUGGGAGACAGUGUCAGGCGGGCAGUUUGACUGGGGCGGUCGCCUCCUAAAAGGUAACGGAGGCGCUCAAAGGUUCCCUCAGAAUGGUUGGAAAUCAUUCAUAGAGUGUAAAGGCAUAAGGGAGCUUGACUGCGAGACCUA
rnacentral:rRNA from 1 species